rnacentral:rRNA from 1 species
UUAAAUUGAAGAGUUUGAUCAUGGCUCAGAUUGAACGCUGGCGGCAGGCCUAACACAUGCAAGUCGAACGGUAGCACAGAGGAGCUUGCUCUUCGGGUGACGAGUGGCGGACGGGUGAGUAAUGUCUGGG